UCUGAUGCGAAAUAGGAAAUGAAUCAUUAUUCUAGAUGUUCAUUUGCGUUUGAAAUAGCACUUUAUUUUAGAAAAAGACUCUUUGUGUUCUUUGAUACUUAGGAUAGUACUUUAGAUGGACUCCACAAAAAUUUUGAACUUAUUUUCUACUUUUUUUUUUUCUGAUAUAUAAGUUGCAAAUUAUCAUUAAUGUUUAGGUCAUGUUUAGGAGUGGUUUAAGUUUUACAUGCAUCAGACGCAUAAAUUGUAGAAGGUUAAUGAAUUGCUUGGUCUGGCGGAGCUGUGGACAAUGAUUAGUGCGUAAAUGACUCUAGCUCUAGAUAGUUAGAUCAGCAGGGAUACAUGGUUUCAACUUUCAAGCUGAAUAAUUUUAUUUGGAACACGUGUAGGCACAUAGUUGAGCUUUUAGAUUUAGAUGAAGCCACUGAAAUAGAUUUGUCAUGGAAUUGUAAGUUUAUGGCGCAAGUGUGUGACCCACUUGCCCAAAAUCAAUCUGCAAAAUUUUUUCCAUGAAUAUGAGCUCCAUCGGAGGUGAUAUUAGGAUCUUCUCCUAGACGAGAAUGAGGCUAGGGAAGAAACUAAAUUGAUAUAUCAGUACAUUUUGCAGUGUAGUGGGAACCUCUUAAUAAUGCUAAAAGAUAGUUCUUUUCACUCUUCUCAUUUUCUAAUUAUUCGUCCCCUUGCCUUCCUUUUCCUGCAAUAUUUAGCUUCAUUGAUUGAAACCAAAUGAUUCAGGUCCCAGUGACUGAUUAUCGUGCUUGGUCGUUAGAAUGCAUGACUUUUGUAAGACUAUGAUGGGAAUAUGCUUCCAUAGAUAUAAACUAUGCUACAAGUAGCUUCAAGUGAUGGAUUUAAUAUUGUUGCAGUUC